UGAGGAGGAGACCAAAAAAACAUUUUGAUGCUUUAAAUCUUUGGAAUGAUGGAAAAUACUAUUUUUUCAGAACACAAAGAACCAUCAAGUAUAGAAAAGAUGUUAAAAAAAACUAAAUGUUCUUCAUUGUUAUUCCAGUUUUAAGGUUUAUUAGAGGAUUUAAAGAUGCAACUGCAGUUCAAGCACCAACACGACGGGGGCAGCAACAUGCACAAACCUUAGCGAGCGCUCUCCUCUGACCUUGGUGAAGUGAAACUGCAGAGGGUCGUCUGUGGACAGAGACACCAUCAAACCUCUGGACAGAUACUCUGGGAGAGGAUUGCGAUGGUAACUGAGGAAGAGACUAUUGUUGCUGAGAGGAGACAUGGCGAUGCCUAGCUGAGCCAAGUAGUACAGAUACUGCAGUACAGGAGCCUGGCGGUACACAAGGAGCAAAGCAGCCCGUGGGAGAUGCUCUCUGACAGCAUGAACCCAGACACCAGGUGAUGGAUGGGCCCAGCUUCUCCACAGUGAGGACGCAGGACAAACACGUUAAGUCCCCGCUGCCUGAAAAGAAAAGUGGAAGACCCUGGUUCUGAAGAUGAUGGGCUCACUUACUGCAUGCAUGUCCAGAGUGUCUACACUGAGGUCAAAGGCUGUGAGGUUCAUGCUCUCAAACACCUCCAUGAGCGUCUGACCUCUCCCUCUCUC